UUGGUCCUAUCAAUACCACCGAACGACGGAGAUGCUGUCCCUCAACCCAACAACCAAUAGGAUCAUCUGUACUGGAAGCUCUGGGGGUUUUGUGAAUGUGCCAGCGAACAAGGAAAUGAUUGUGAAGUAAAAACGAAAAACAACACAUCAGUGUUUUAAUCGUAACGUGGAAUGGCUCAGCUAGUGGGGUUGGGAAUCCUAGCACUCGUUGUCAGUUGACGUGUGAAAGGGGCUGCAACAGCAAUUGGACGCAAUCUAGCUACCAGUGCUAAAUUAGCUAACAUUAGGUGAAAGUCAAAGGCAAGGAAUUAGCUCGCUGGCUAGGUGACAAUACAUUCCAGUUCACAUAACGUCAAUGCCAACAUGGCAGGGGGCAACAACAACGGCCAAGGGACAGGAGUCGGAGAGGAGAAGACGGCUUCUCCUAGACAGAGUGAAGUGAACAGAAAGCUGAAAUACAUCAGUUUGGCCAUCCUUGUUGUCCAGAAUGCCUCUCUCAUCCUCAGCAUUCGCUAUGUCCGUACGCUGCCCGGUGAUCGUUUCUUCACCACCUCUGCAGUGGUUAUGGCAGAGGUGCUCAAAGUACUUACCUGUCUUCUCAUCAUUUUAUUCCAGAGAAAAGGAAACGUAAAGGAGUUUAUUGUAUUGCACUACAACUCCAUUGUCAUCCAAUACAAGGACACGCUUAAACUGGCUGUCCCAGCCCUCAUCUAUACCUUGCAGAACAACCUCCAGUAUGUGGCUAUAUCCAAUUUACCAGCAGCUACUUUCCAGGUGACCUACCAGCUGAAAAUUCUGACCACAGCCCUUUUCUCUGUGCUGAUGCUGCGGAAGAGCCUAUCACGGAUUCAGUGGCUGUCCCUGCUCCUGCUGUUCGCUGGGGUUGCUAUUGUACAACUGGAGCAGGAAGGAAAACGGAAGGAGACUACAGUCACUGGACCGAGCCAGAACUAUGCCAAAGGACUGGUGGCAGUGAUAGUGUCCUGCCUCUCCUCUGGCUUUGCUGGAGUGUACUUUGAGAAAAUCCUUAAGGGCAGCUCAGCCUCUGUGUGGAUGAGGAACAUCCAGCUGGGCAUAUUUGGCACUCUACUAGGCCUGUUGGGGAUGUGGUGGAACGAUGGCCUUGCCAUUGCAGAGAAGGGCUUCCUGUUUGGGUACACACCCAUGGUGUGGGGCGUCAUCUUUAACCAGGCUUUUGGGGGUUUACUGGUGGCGGUGGUAGUGAAGUACGCAGACAACAUCCUGAAGGGGUUCGCCACUUCCUUUUCCAUCAUCGUCUCCACUGUAGUCUCUGUCUACCUCUUUGGGUUCCACGUGGACCUCCUCUUCACUCUGGGUGCUGGUCUGGUCAUUGGAGCCGUCUAUAUGUAUAGUCUGCCCAAAGCAGCUGCUCCCUCCCCGUCUACUGCUACCCUCUCCUCUUCCAGCCACAGUCUCGCCGACGGCGCUGGAGACUCAGAGACGGAAGCUUUCCUCCCAAAGUCAGUCCUGGUGAAAUGAGCGAUCUGCAAUCCUGUCUGUCCUUCUCUUCUUCCUUUCAAAUCUCAUUAUUUUUCCAUCUGGACUAAAACAAACUUUGCUUUCCAUCUUUAUCUUUCUGCUACGGUACUUAUAUUUAAUUUGGGAACUUCAUAUCAAUAGAUUUUUUUGAUACAAAUGGAAGGGGUAGGGCAUCUCUGUAUUUUAGUUCUGUAGAUAGCCCAAGGUUGUUUUUCCUCAGACUAUCCAUCAGUUUAUUCUGCCUAUAAUGGAAUGGGUAGCCAGAGAUUUUAACUCUGUUUUCGUGCAGUAGUCUGCUAAGUUUCAAUACUUUCUGAAAGCACAAGAGGGUGAAGUAUGAAAACUUGUGAUAUUCUUUUCAUGUUAAUCAUGCCUCUGGGAAUAUCUUUGCUUUCAAUACUUAGUUCUCUACAGACCCCUCUUUGCCUUAAACAAUGUAUUUUUAAUCAAAAGAAAGCCUUACUACAUAUCCAGAUGACUUGCCAGAGGACUUAAAAUACAGCUGCAACUUUUGUGGUUUUUUAAAUUUAAGUUAUGGUCUUCAAGAAACCUAGUUACUUGGAGACAGCUCUUCAGACAGAGUCUGGCCAUUCUACCAUAAAGGCCUGAUUUAGUGGAGUACUGCAGAGAUGGUUGUCCAUCUGAACUAUAAUGGAAUAUAGUUGAAAGAUUUCCAAUUGGCAUGGGGACUUUAUAAAUGUCUGUAAACCUAGAAACUGAAAAGGAGUUUGAGGUGUUCCGGGAAUUAAUUUAUUUCUGUCUGCUCUCGUUUGAGCUCUUCAGGUGUACUUUAAUUUCUGAAGUAGACCCAACUAAUCUAAUCCCAUCCUAACGGCACCUAAAAGAGAGGCUAGUUUAGGGUGGGCCGGGCUAGUUUGGGCACCACCUGAGCUAAUGGUCAUGCUGUGCCUUUUCUCUUUCAUUUGUACAGUAAUGAUAUCAUUUGUUGACAAAAGUUGAAAAUGUAUAAAUAAUAUCACAUUUAUAAUUUAAUUUUUUGCUUCGAAUAAUUGUGACAGCUUUGUGGAAAUAUGCUCAUGCUCAUAUUUAUACACAAACUGUUCUCUAAGAUGUCUUUUUUUAUUAUUAUUAUUUUUUUUAGAUAUCAACUGGAGUUGAUGGAAUGUUUUAAUGUUUUUUGUCAAAGUGGAAAGUGUUUGUCCCUGAGCAAAAAACACAGAGUAAACUGGACAAGUAUCAAAUGGUAAAGCAUUAGUUGUGGGUGUUUUUUUUUUUUUACACUCAAGUCUGCUUUAUUAUCAUAUUAAAUGAAGGAGCUUUUCUCUUUACAUCGAAGUUAAAUCCCAAUGUUACCAGAGAAUAUUGAACAUACUUGCUUAGAUUUUGCAAGAAUGGUUUCUUUAAAAUCAUCAAGCUGACAAGGACAAUAUACUGUAUUUUUAGGCAGCUAAAAUCAUUUGUCAUGAAUUGGUUUAUUUAGUUUUUUGUUUACUUUUGGGCUGUUGGUGUUGGAUUGGGUUAGAAAUUCAGAUACAGCUGCUCAUAGUCUUUUGACCUACAGCCAAUUCAUAUAAUUUAAAAUGCAUAAAUAAGUAGGCCUGUAUAUAGAAUUAUAUCUUAAGUCUGGGUUAGUAUCAUUGACUUUAAACAAAUAAAUUGAUAGACUUAUUAAAGGCAGUUUGAAAAUGCUUUACAAUUGUAAUUCAUAAGGCAGGUGAUAUUUCUCACAAUUUGUCUGUGGUCAUUUUUCAGUGUGAAAUAUCAGGAAAAAAACGAAUUGAUACAGUUUAGAUCCAAGAAAAGUAUUUAUCUGAAAUUUAAGACUAUGUUCAUGACUUAGCAAUUUCUGUACACUCAGCAAAAGCAUACUUUAUUUAGUCAUCAACAUUUUACUACAGUAUCCACAUGCCUUUUGGCCUCUAUGAGAAAUGACCCGACCACCAUAUGCUGGAAUAAUUAUUGCACACUUACGUGUUACCUAUUUAAGUUAUCUAAGAAAUAGUAUCUGGUCUCAGUAUGAUAAGGUUAUCGUUGUGUUCCUCCUCAGAAAGACUAUUAGCAGCUGUUCAAUAUGGGAUGAAUUUGUCUGCGUUCAUUGCCUUCAAUGUUGAUACAGAGUCACUGGCCUCCACUUGGUGUCUUAUUGUCCCACAUCGCUGUUCAGCGUUGGAUGCAUUUAUAUCUGUGCGAUAUGAAAUGAACGUAUGAAGAAAAAGAUAGUUAUCAUGGGCCUCUGAAAAGGAAAAAGGAUGCUAAGAAAGUGCUUCACGUCUGAAGGCAUACCAUGCCUGCAUCUCAUGCCAAAGUGAUGUUGAAAGGAAAAUUAUUACAAAUGCCUUCUAUUAAUUUAAUUGAAAUUCCUAUACUAGCAGAUCUGUUGGAGAUGUUUGCCUCGGAUGCGAAUGGGUAUUGUAUGAAGAGAAUUACGUUAUCUUUUAAUCAUGCUUAGUUUACAUGUAACAGAUCAGGAGUUGAAACUUCCUUUGUAGAAAAUAUUUCCUUACACUGUUGCCUUACUAUUUAUCUAUAUAACAUUAACAUGAGUUCUUGUUAAAAAAUAAUUUUCUGCUCCGUAUCUACCCAUUUAUAACAAGUAUUAUUUAAUUCCCAUAAGAUUGUUGAAUAGUGUUUAAUUAUUAGUUGUAUGAUGUGUGUGAUGCAUUGAAACACUAAUAUCAGCCUUUAAUGUAAAUCUAUCACGGCCUAUAUUUUACUUUUAAUGUGUUUGUUCAACACCCAGCUAAGCAAAACUGAAAAUGUGUUAAAGGCAGCAGGUAGCCUAGUGUUUUAGGGGGUUGGGCCAGUAACCGGAAGGUCGCUGGUUCGAAUCUGUAGCCAAUUAGGGGGGGAAUCUGUCGAUGUGCCCUUGAGUUACUUAAUUACUCCUGUUAGUUGCUCUGGAUAAGAGCACCUGCUAAAUAAAUGUAAAUGUUUUGACUUUUA